rnacentral:lncRNA from 1 species
UGGCCUACUAACAUUGUCAUACACAGAUGGCCUAGGCACAUAAAACCCAUUAGUCGGUCCAAUAGAGUAAGAAGCCCAAUUGGGCUGACCAUUAUCACCAGCAAUCGGGUUCUGUUGCCAAACCCACUGCCCUCCUUCAAGUUGUUGUGCAGGAGGACGCAAACGGAUGGGUUCACCACCACCAGUAGCACCGGCCUCCGAUGGUCCACCAUAGUCGCGAUCAAAGCGAUAAUAGCACCGCUGAGCAACAUGCCCAAACCGAUUGCAGAUCUGACACUGCACCCGCGAACGAAAAGCUCGGCCACCACGUGACCCAGUCGGCAUCCGACCACCACGAGCACCACGCGAAUCAUAAUCAGUCACUGCACCAGGAACCUGAGCCAUAUGUGCAACCAACGGCACCUCACGCACUGCCCGGGACUGGCGACGCUCGAAGGCCAUGAGAAUGUCCACCAAUUUCGAAAAGGUCAAGGACUCCGACGAGGCCGAAACCACCAUAAAGACCGAAUCAAAAUCAGAGGUGAGACCUCCGAGAAGAACUUCCACCUUCUCCGCCUCUGAAACGGCCGAUCCUGACGCCACAACAAGGCACAAAGAGUGUUAAUUUUGGACACGUAUUCUUUGACGGUAAAUCCGCCCUUCCGAACCGCAUGUAAAUCAUGACGGAUCUGAGAAACUUUCUCAACCGAGGUUGCAGCGAAGAGGUGACUUGCUGCACUUCAACUAUCACAAGCAGAUUUAGUCGAAAUGAAAUAAGAGAGAAGAGACGAGCUCACCGUGGACAGAAGCCACGAGGCAAGCAGCUUAUCCUGCUGCGUGAACCAAACCACAUCUGGAUUUGGAGCAAGACAACCAUCAUUUGUGGCCACCACCUUCGUCGGUUCGGUGACUGAGCCAUCCAAGAACCCUUGAAGACCGUAGCCAUCAACAAUAAGUCGGACUUGAUGCUGCCACUGGACGAAAUUAGACUCAUCCAGCUUAGCAAUCUCAUGACGAGGGAAGCUAUAGACCAGGCGAGAGUGCGAAGCAGAAGUAGGAAGCGAAGCACCAACAGGCUGAUCAACCAACGGAUCCAUGAAUACGGAGCAGAAGCGACCACCAAGAUCUUAGGCGACUGAUACCAUGAUAGGCGAUUGAUACCAUGAUAGAAGGUAAACUAGACUAAACACUUUAUGAAUGAACUAACCUUGAAUUGCUUUUGUAAAUUCAUUCCUACCUAUUCUGAACAUCAAGAUUGUUAUUUAUAGAAGAGAGCUUAGUAACUGCUCUGAGUAACAGACUAACCACUUGGAUAACAAACCACAACUACCAAUAUACAACUACUCUAUCAGUGAUACUCUAUCAUGCUUCAUUGUUUUGCAUAAAAUAUGAACAUAUUUAGAUACUAAGAUGUUUACUUUCAUUUUCUUGAAUACCAAACAGGUUGUUAUCCCAAGAAGCAUCUAUUCUAUGUUAUGAUGGGCUGUGUACGGAAUAAUGAGUCGUUUAAUUGUAUCAAAGAUUUGUUGAAGUACCAUGUAUUUUCUCAUUAUGUACUUAUGGUUAUGAUUUUAUUUGGAUUGGGUUUUCAUGACAAGUUUAAAGUGAGUUUUAUGUUAUAGUUUCUGCUCCUAUUAUAUGCCUCUCUUCAUGCUCCACUGGUUUUUUUUAACACCUGGAUUAUGAAUUAAGAUGGUUUCUUAAAAAAAUUUAUGACUAAAUAAAAACUUGGUCAUUUUAUCAUCGCAACAAACGGCCAAGAAUCGAUCAUAAUGAUUUUGUCAUUGUAAUUAAGAUUCUUAUUGCACAUUGCUGCUGCAAGUUGUAGGCAUGGUUUGUGGGGAGUGUAUACUGUGUUGAUUUGGGGGUCACGUGUGUUGUGGAUAUUUGUAUAUUUUCCUAAUUUUACAACGUAGCCAUUAUGUCAUUUUGUAUAAAGUUAGCCUACCAUUUUAUAUAAAUUAAAAAAUAUAUAUUAAAGUACAAAGUCAAACUUUCAUAUGCGUUAGCUUCCAAGUUCUUGCAAAGUGUGUUUGGUUUAAGCAAUAUCUGAUGCUUGUAUUAAAUACUCAUGUUUUAAAAAAUUUUGCAAUAUCUGAUGCUUGUAUUAAAUACUCAUGUUUUAAAAAAUUUUUUUAGCAGGAGUUUGAAAUUGAAUUAUAAUUUUUAUGAUAGUAAAAAUAUAAUUUAUUAUUUUAAUAGUUCACAUCUUUAUAUAUUUAAAAGAUUAAAUUAAAUUUUUACUAUUUGUAGAGGUCCAAAGUAUAAUUUUAUUUUUAUUAAUUUAAAAUUUUAUAAAAUUUAUAAAAUUUAAAUAAAAAUUUUCUAUUUUGAAAAGGAAGAUUUUAUUUUUUACUAAUUUAAAAUUUUAUAAAAUUUAUAAAAUUUAAAUAAAAAUUUUCUACUUUAAAAAGGAAGGUUCCUAAACUGUUUUUAGGAACACAUAGGGUUUAUGAAACUUCAACUUUGUAAAUGUUCCCUACUUCAACUUUAUGAAACUUUAGCAAAUCACAUGUCUAAAAUUUGUAAGGCAAAAUCACAAAUGCUAUUUUAGCUGAGGUUUUUUUUUAAUUAUUAUUAUUAAUGUUCCCUACUUCAACUUCUAAAGAAAAAUUGUUUAUUUUCCCUACUUCAACUACUAAAGAAAAAUUGUUUAUAACACUUGUCUGAGUCCAUUUUUCUCUUUUUCUUUUCCGUUUGCAGCCGACCUGGCCCAGAUAAGAAUAUUUAAUUCUUAAGGAGGGUCAUGAGAGUCAUUUCCCAAACAAAGUCGUCGGGAACAAAGACUGAGAAUCAGGAAGAUGAUGUGCCCAACCAGAAAUGAUGAGAAAACAAUUGUUCUGACAUUCUGUGGACUGCAUGUAUGUGAAUACCUAUGCAUAGGAGACUGGUGUUCAGUUCAAUGCAGUUAUGAUUUUAUUAAUGAAUGGAUCAAAUAAGUGAUCGGAGUCCGAUCACAACCCCCCCCCUCAAAAAAAAAAAAGAAAAAAAGAAAAA